CUUGCUAAGACUUAUAUUAUAUUUGACCAAAUAAAUCCAAAUUUUCAUGUUUAGCUGUUGUUUCAACUUGCGAGUGCAACAGGUGAUUUCUCCACCAUGCUGAUUUUAAAAUAUUCUGGCUUUUGGAGAUAAUGAUUUUUGCAGAUGAUGGCUUUGACAAAAGAUGAGGCGGGCGUUCAGAUGCUUCCAAAACACCAGGUCAGUUUACGCAAUAUAAAAAAGGGAGUCCUCAAGUUUGGAGCGGCGAGUCAUCGGAAAAGUUGCGAUUUCACUGACUUUCAAGGAACAAUUUGGGAGUUACAGCUGUCAAUUUGUUGCAAAAUGAUCCAAGGAAUCAUUGUGGUGCAAUAUUCAAAAGGCUACAAAUUUAACAAUGCAGACAUUUCAUACAUAAUCCAAAAGAACCUUGAAGUCAAAGCGUCUGUCCAAAGUGAGCAGAUUUCUGAUGGAAAAACUUUCGGUAUUGGCCACUUUUACCAGAUUUCGUUAAUUUUUUCGCAAUACGAAAGUUGAACAAACUGAACUUUGUCACCUUUACGAACUUGUAUUGACAUUUCUAGCAAUGCCUCCUUUGCAUGGAAACACUAAGUGCAAACAUUGCAACACAAGAAAGUCAAAUUUUCGAGAUAUAAUCGCAUAGUUUUUUCAAAAAAAUGCACCCUUUCCUGUACCGAUACAUAUAUAAAUAAAUCCUGUUUAUCUCGUUCUCCCCAAUACGAAGUUUCUCUAGACAUCAAAUAUUAAGAGUAAAUGUAUGCCUUUCUAAGAAAUUUGCAAACGCCUUACAGAAUGAUUUGAUCACGUAAAGGCUAGGUAUACUUGAACCUGGACACAAUUCGCUAACUGUUUCGUCCAACCAACUCAAAUCAUAUCCACAAUCCUUAAGACCAUAUUAUCAGAAUAACAUAUCAUUGGUACAAUCCUGCGUGUGAAUAAGAAGCAGUAGAUAAUAAGAACAAAAUAAAGGAACCUAGAAUCUACUUACAGAGGA